GGAGAUGUUCAGAUCUGUAGACUGCAGGGAACUGUGUGCUUAUGCCAUGAUUGUGAUGUCAGAGAAGAUAAUGAAGACUCAGAAGAAUGGGGGAAUCAGCCCAGGGGUCAAGGGACCCAAGGACAGGGAAGAAUCAGGAAUUUUCUGAGGUCAGGGUCAUAGAGGUAUCCGUCUAGAAGAUGGUGAGUGGUGAGUAAAGAGUGGGAUCCUCAACACGAGAUUUGAGGUGCCAGCAAGGAGACCCACAAGCUGCUGAAGAAGACUAAAGGAGGACCCUAGGAGCACAAGGAGCAUCUGAGCCUGCCAUCCACAGGAAGUAUGAGGACAUGGCUCAUUUUGGUAUAGGCACAACAGAUCCUCUCAGAAGCCUCCUGUUUAGAGAAACCUGCAUGGCCAUCCCUUCCUGUGACUGACUCCAUCCAUCGCUGAUUGGUUCCUUGUUUUCUGCAAAGGGCCUUAAAAUUUGGAGAAGAAACAUGAAGUGACAAAGUUCACCAUUGUUUGACCAGCCUUCCUGGACCACACUGAUUUUGAGUGUGAAAAUGCUCAGCUGGCUGGGCUGGCCGGCCAAUGAAAUGCAAAGAUGGGCCUGUAUCAGCCCAACAGGAGAGUUGGAGUGUCUUAUGUGCCUGAAGUCGGCUUCUGCAUCUUGCUCUGUAUCUUAUUUCUCCUCGAUCCCGGGAUACAAGAACAACUGGUAUCCUGUAAAGCAGAAAAGAAGCCAAGAACAGAGAACAGAGUCAAUGGAAGGGAACAAAGGGACUUUGUGAUUUUGAUUUUAAUUAUACUGACUC
rnacentral:sRNA from 1 species